UCCAGAUUUUGCUCAGUUGGGUCAUUGC
rnacentral:piRNA from 1 species